AGUGAACGCUGGCGGUAGGCCUAACACAUGCAAGUCGAACGGCAGCACAGUAAGAGCUUGCUCUUACGGGUGGCGAGUGGCGGACGGGUGAGGAAUACAUCGUAAUCUACUUUUUCGUGGGGGAUAACGUAGGGAAACUUACGCUAAUACAGCAUACGACGUACGGGUGAAAGCAGGGGAUCUUCGGACCUUGCGCGGUUGAAUGAGCCGAUGUCGGAUUAGCUAGUUGGCGGGGUAAAGGCCCACCAAGGCGACGAUCCGUAGCUGGUCUGAGAGGAUGAUCAGCCACACUGGAACUGAGACACGGUCCAGACUCCUACGGGAGGCAGCAGUGGGGAAUAUUGGACAAUGGGCGCAAGCCUGAUCCAGCCAUACCGCGUGGGUGAAGAAGGCCUUCGGGUUGUAAAGCCCUUUUGUUGGGAAAGAAAAGCAGCAGGUUAAUACCCCGCUGUUCUGACGGUACCCAAAGAAUAAGCACCGGCUAACUUCGUG
rnacentral:rRNA from 1 species